rnacentral:rRNA from 1 species
GAUGAACGCUGGCGGCGUGCCUAAUAGAUGCAAGUAGAGCGAAGGGACGAGAAGCUUGAAAGGGUGAGGUGAGCGGCGGACGGGUGAGUAACACGUGGAAAAAGUACCUAUAAGACUGGGAUAACUUCGGGAAACCGGAGCUAAUACCGGAUAAUAUUUUGAACCGCAUGGUUCAAAAGUGAAAGACGGUCUUGCUGUCACUUAUAGAUGGAUCCGCGCUGCAUUAGCUAGUUGGUAAGGUAACGGCUUACCAAGGCAACGAUGCAUAGCCGACCUGAGAGGGUGAUCGGCCACACUGGAACUGAGACACGGUCCAGACUCCUACGGGAGGCAGCAGUAGGGAAUCUUCCGCAAUGGGCGAAAGCCUGACGGAGCAACGCCGCGUGAGUGAUGAAGGUCUUCGGAUCCUAAAACUCUGUUAUUAGGGAAGAACAUAUGUGUAAGUAACUGUGCACAUCUUGACGGUACCUAAUCAGAAAGCCACGGCUAACUACGUG